GACGAACGCUGGCGGCAUGCUUAACACAUGCAAGUCGAACGGAAAGGCCCUGCGUUUGUGGGGUGCUCGAGUGGCGAACGGGUGAGUAACACGUGAGUAACCUGCCCUUGACUUUGGGAUAACUUCAGGAAACUGGGGCUAAUACCGGAUAGGAUCUCCUGCUGCAUGGUGGGGGUUGGAAAGUUUCGGCGGUUGGGGAUGGACUCGCGGCUUAUCAGCUUGUUGGUGGGGUAGUGGCUUACCAAGGGUUUGACGGGUAGCCGGCCUGAGAGGCUGACCGGCCACAUUGGGACUGCGGUAGGGCCCAGACUCCUACGGGAGGCAGCAGUGGGGAAUAUUGCACAAUGGGCGGAAGCGUGAUGCAGCAACGCCGCGUGCGGGAUGCCCGCUUUCGGGUUGUAAACCGCUUUCGACUGUGACGAAGCGUGAGUGACGGUAAUGGGUAAAGAAGCACCGGCUAACUACGUG
rnacentral:rRNA from 1 species